ensembl:lncRNA
GUUUUACCUGUUGUAAAAACGUGCUCCGACAUGUCACACACACCUGGAGGGAGGGGGGGGGGCAUUAACACACGCAUAUAUACGGGUGCCCUCCUUGUGCUCCACCCUACCAUCAAAAACUACCACAGGCAAGUAGUCAAUUGACAGCUCAGUGACUGUAUCACCAGCUAAGACGUUGGUGUGGACACACACACACACACACACACGCACACACACACACCUAGUGAAUCGUCUGUUUCCGAGCAUGCUGAAACAGAUCAGGCUUUCAUGCUGAAGCAGGCAGUGUGUGUGUGUGUGUGUGUGUGUGUGUGUGUACCUUUGCUCCCCACUGGUGUUUACCUCCUCUCUCCCGCUGCUGCUCUCUGCCACGUCAAAUGACCGACCGGGUGCUUGGCUCGUUCCUCUGGGAGCGGCGCGGCCAAACAAGCCUGACUGUGGUCACUCUGCUCCGGGUCUGAGGCGGCGAAAAAGUAGCGGCCCGGGAAAAUCCUCGCGGCGCUUCGUCUCUGCGUGGUGUUUUGGCCCCCGUCUGGCUGUCUGCUGGAGCUCUGCUCGCCGGGUGGCAGAUAAACCGAUGAGUUCAGGUCCUUUUGACGCAGUCGGACUGACUCACCUGGCGGUUGGGGAGACACUGGCAGAGCGGCUGUUGGAACAGCUGGAAAGGGUUUUAUUCUUUUAUAGAUAUUUUUCCAUUCAGCUGACAAAUGAGUGGAUAUCUUUAUAGAGGAAGGUAAGGCUUUUUGGAUGCUAACAGCUGUUGUGAUGAGUCAGAGGGGUUGUUUUUGUCAGGGAGGUUUCACGGUGUGUUUUCUUCUGUGUGGGAGUGCGUUCAUGAAUGUCAUGUGAAUAGAAAAGCCUCAUCUGCAUUAAACACAGACGGAAAAAAAAGGGGAAAAGUCUUCUUUACCUUGCAAGGAAAAGGGGACCUUUGUGCCAGUGUUACAUAAUGAGCUCUGGAAUCCACAUGUGGUGUUCCUGGAGGAUGGGCACCCAUUGGCUGAACCAAUUUCUGUUGCUUUAAAGCCAAAAUGCCUGAAUUAUAUUGGUCCGCUCCUGUAUUUUUCAGAAACAGUCGGUUGUGUUAUCCAUGUUGUCAAAACAUUUAAAUCUGGAUUAUAUGAUAUAAAGUAUGUGUGCAGUUGCCUGCAGUGCAUCUUAUUACACACUGUCUCUCUGUACAAUACUCACUAUGCGUAUCAUUCAAUUGAAGCUGCGUUUACACUGAGUUAAUAAUUUAAAGUUAGAACUCCUAAACACUUCCAUCCGAUGGAUAGAUUUUCAGUUCAGUUAGGACAUUUUUUAUAUCUUGGGAAACUUGCAUGCGGCUGGUCAGCGAGGUAAACGAUGUAUAUCCACAAAUGUCAUCAGUAUUUCCUUUGGAUGCAAAGUUGCAGCCAUUUGAAACGUGGCUUCUUAGGUCUGAAUGUCAUUGCACAGUAUUAAAUAACAAGGACAGGAAAUGAUUGAAAAACCAAAUAUCACAAAAUUGAAUGAAUAUUAUUUUUAUCUGAAGUUCAACUUCUGAUAGUUUGCAUAAUUAACUUUUACUGUUUUUUAAUUAUUGGUCUCUACCUCUCCUAAUAUCAAUACUAAUUAGACGCAUAUGAGGGGUCCAGAACUCCCAGAGUGUCUGGUCCUUUGUCACACAGUUUUGGCUCCCUUAGUAUUUUUGAAGCUUCUUACACCUUACAUGGAAGUCAACAGUGUGUUGUGUUUUAUAAAAGUUUACAGGCAGCCGACUUGCGGAGGUCACAUGACGAGUAAUCUCGCGUAGAGCACACGGGUCGCUAUCAGCACGGUUAAAGAGCGCUCACUGUUGUCUACUCAGCCUCUAUUGUCACAAAUGUUCCUCCAGCUGUCACCACGUGUUGCAGAUAGCAGGGAGGUCUAGUGAUUAUUCACGAGAGGCUCCGAGGACCUGGGGAGAAAAUCCUGCCCACGUUCCUCUGAUCCUGAAGAAAUCCUCCUUCAACGCGUCAACGUUAAGAACGGCAUUAUUCACUUGACUCUUUUAGGAGUAUUGCACGCUCUCAGGAGGCCCGUGGGACUUGAUUUGUUACCAGAGUGGUGACCAGUACCAGGAUUUCUUGGAUUCCUCCACUCCAGACG